UGGUAGAUGCACCCUGAUUGUUGCCCCUGGACCUCGUUUGCGAGGCCCAGGGUUUUUUUU
rnacentral:sRNA from 1 species